GCAAGUCGAACGGUCUCUUCGGAGGCAGUGGCAGACGGGUGAGUAACGCGUGGGAAUAUACCUAUCAGUACGGAACAACAGUUGGAAACGACUGCUAAUACCGUAUACGCCCUUCGGGGGAAAGAUUUAUUGCUGAUAGAUUAGCCCGCGUUAGAUUAGCUAGUUGGUGGGGUAAAGGCUCACCAAGGCGACGAUCAGUAUCUGGUUUGAGAGGACGAUC
rnacentral:rRNA from 1 species